rnacentral:rRNA from 1 species
AUGGGUUCGAGGAGAUCCAUCAGUGUUGAUGGUGUGCAUGGAGGUAAGCACCUCGUGGAGGAGGAGCUGCCACUUCCCAUGUAUGAUCCAAGCUUGCAUCCCGCCUAUGUGUUGGCAUUGGAGGAUACACGAGAGUAUGUGUUGAACAAGGUGGAGAGGCGCAUAUCGGCCGUGGAGACCAACCUUGGCCGGAGAAUCGACUCCCUCAUCGAGGAACUCCGUCGAGAUAGGCUUACUGCACGGGGUCGACAACGACAAAUCCCCGAACAGCGGGGCCAACGCCACCUUGAGGAGGAGCAUGGAGAGCACAACCACGUCUACUCGGGUGAUGCUCAUAGCUACUACGCUGCACCACCUCGACGUGCUCGCUACGACCAGCGAGGUGCUACUUGGGCGCCACUGUCACCACCACGAGAUGGGCUUGCGGCACGGGGUCGACAACGACAACUCCCCAUACAGCAGGACCACCAUGGAGAGCAUUGGAGCGACCACUCCGAUGAUGCUCGAAACUACUACGAGCCUCGACCACGACGUGUUCAUCAUGAUCAUCGCGGAGAAGGCCAAGAAGGCUUUGCCAUGGGAGGAAGAGGUCAUGGGCGUGCUCAUCGUGACCAUGAAGAUGAUGGGAUUGGUAAAUUCAAACUUACCAUACCAUCGUUCAAUGGAAAAACCGAGACCGAUGAUUAUUUGGAGUGGGAGAUGCGUGUGGAUCAGAUUUUUUGA